GACGAACGCUGGCGGCGUGCCUAAUACAUGCAAGUUGAGCGCUGAAGGUUGGUACUUGUACCGACUGGAUGAGCAGCGAACGGGUGAGUAACGCGUGGGGAAUCUGCCUUUGAGCGGGGGACAACAUUUGGAAACGAAUGCUAAUACCGCAUAAAAACUUUAAACACAAGUUUUAAGUUUGAAAGAUGCAAUUGCAUCACUCAAAGAUGAUCCCGCGUUGUAUUAGCUAGUUGGUGAGGUAAAGGCUCACCAAGGCGAUGAUACAUAGCCGACCUGAGAGGGUGAUCGGCCACAUUGGGACUGAGACACGGCCCAAACUCCUACGGGAGGCAGCAGUAGGGAAUCUUCGGCAAUGGACGAAAGUCUGACCGAGCAACGCCGCGGGAGUGAAGAAGGGUUUCGGAUCGUAAAACUCUGUUGGUAGAGAAGAAAGUUGGUGAGAGUGGAAAGCUCAUCAAGUGACGGUAACUACCCAGAAAGGGACGGCUAACUACGUG
rnacentral:rRNA from 1 species